rnacentral:rRNA from 1 species
UGCAGUCGAGCGGAUUGAUGGGAGCUUGCUCCCUGAGAUUAGCGGCGGACGGGUGAGUAACACGUGGGUAACCUGCCUGUAAGAUUGGGAUAACUCCGGGAAACCGGAGCUAAUACCGGAUAAUAUUUUGAACCGCAUGGUUCAAAAUUGAAAGAUGGUUUCGGCUAUCACUUACAGAUGGACCCGCGGCGCAUUAGCUAGUUGGUGAGGUAACGGCUCACCAAGGCAACGAUGCGUAGCCGACCUGAGAGGGUGAUCGGCCACACUGGGACUGAGACACGGCCCAGACUCCUACGGGAGGCAGCAGUAGGGAAUCUUCCGCAAUGGACGAAAGUCUGACGGAGCAACGCCGCGUGAACGAUGAAGGCCUUCGGGUCGUAAAGUUCUGUUGUUAGGGAAGAACAAGUACCAGAGUAACUGCUGGUACCUUGACGGUACCUAACCAGAAAGCCACGGCUAACUACGUGCCAGCAGCCGCGGUAAUACGUAGGUGGCAAGCGUUGUCCGGAAUUAUUGGGCGUAAAGCGCGCGCAGGUGGUUUCUUAAGUCUGAUGUGAAAGCCCACGGCUCAACCGUGGAGGGUCAUUGGAAACUGGGGAACUUGAGUGCAGAAGAGGAAAGUGGAAUUCCAAGUGUAGCGGUGAAAUGCG